rnacentral:lncRNA from 1 species
UGCUUUCCAAUACUUAAUGUGCAAGGCAAAGACCAUUUCCACUAGUCUCAUAUCAUAUUUAAGUUUCUCCUCUAUCUUGACAAAUGAUUGUGUUGCAGACUAGAGCACUCUCCUCAGUAUCUUUCUAAGCUUGCUUCUUCUUAUAUUUUCCUUCUCAAUAAGGCAGUCAAGUUCCGGAAGAACCCUCCUGAGUGCAACCCCAAGUAGGUAUUUUUCUAUUAUCUUUCUUAUUUUCUUUCUAGUUACUGAGAAUUUAUUGGAUGGCAUCCUUAUUUAGUUGUAAGUCAUCUUCUAGUAAAGUUGUUGUAGAUAGUGAAGAAUAUAGGGUCAGUGUUGAGAAGAAUUUGCACAAUUGGAACAUCCCAAAAGAGAAAAUCUACAAAACAGGAUUCUUCAAAUCCAACAAGUUAGUGAGAACUGAAAAACAAACAAUGCCACUGUCCACUGGAGAUCAAAUUAUAAGAUUACUUCCACAAGAGCAUUUAUACCGAUUCCAAGACGAGGAUUGUUCCCUCCAUGUAGGGUUGGUUCAACUAGCAGUUGGACCAUUAACAAGGCAAGGUAUUAAUGGAACCUCAGUUGUUUUAUGUCUCCAAGAUAAUAGGCAUAGCAAGUUUGAAGACUCCUUGCUAGGAAAGCUUCAAUUCAGUCUUUGUGAUGGACCCAUAUAUUUUAACUGCUUCCCCAAUUUUUUGGUGUCUCUAAUGGAUCGAAGAGUAUUCGACUGCUUGAAUUUAAGCAUCAAAACAAAUGGCUAUAAUAUGGUACAAGGAUCACUGCCGAUAGCCCUUGAAUUCCGUGUCGUUUACAAGAUAAUGAAAAAAACCCCAGCUGUGCCAAAAGCCUUGGCAGAAUACCCAGGAGGAAGAGUCCUUUUAGAAGAAAAAAUUGGAAGAUCAAAUGCUGUUUUUCCAGCAUCAGUCAAGUGGAGCGAAGUCGAAGAUGCAUAGCAGUGGAUGCUACCAGCUGAAGUCCCUCAACUACUUUACCUCAAAGUGAGCCAGAUAAAUGUAUUUCAUAUCAGUAUGCAUUGCACGGUUAUACGUGUGUUUUGUCGUUAGUUUUCCUGGUGUGUGUAUAUGUAUCUUCAAGAAUGCUUUUCUCCCUUUAUCUCUGUAAAUGUCUCUAUAAGUCUAUAACUAAUGAAGUUUGUCUGUUAUUCCAACUCUUCUCCUCUUAGUUGUUUAUCUUAUCUGAUUUAUGUGUUUGUCAUUGUGAUGGCCAAUCUAUUUGUUUCAUAGUAUGUUCUGUACUGUUUGCAUCAGGGCCAAGGUUUAAGAUUGCUAUAGAUCUGACAAUACCUGUGUUGUACUGAGCUCUCUAGUUCCGGUUUUGGUUUCUAAUUGGCACUUCUUAGAGCUGGUGGACAGCAAUGGGGUUUCUUAUGGCAAAUUCACUCGGAUCAUUUGGUUGGACGCCCACUAGUGAUGACAAUACUUAGGAAGUCAGAAUGCAUUAUAUAUCCCAAAGGGUUCUGGUUUAUGAUUCUUCCAAGAAAAGAUUGAAUCUGUCAGUGGUUAUGCCGUAAAUAAAUAAAACAUAUUUGUUAUUGAAAUCCAUGACAGUUUCCUAUGAUUAUACACUAAUAUGAUUGGGGAACAAACAUGUCCGGAAAAAGUAGCAGUUAGGCCUUUAAGUUUAACCAAGGCUGGUUUGAACAACUUCUGCUAUUGUGUACGAGGCAUUGUAGAAGCUAGCCUUUUUGAAUCUCACUAACAGGUCUGGGAAUCCUAUAGGUUCUCAGUCUCAUCUGAAGAUCCAAGGAUUCAAUAUUAAACCAGGAUCACAUAUAUGCCAACUUUUUUUUUUUUUGCUGGAAUUGAAGUGGAAACCUAUUGAUGAAUGCUGUAAGUUUUCCGGUUUUGGAGGAUGGAUGAUGUCCUGCUCUUGGGAAAGACUUGAGGAGACUUUGGAAAGACUUUGAUCUUUACUAUUUUGGAAAGAACUUUGAUAUAUAAAAACAAAAGUUUAGGUAUUGUUUGGUAAGUGUUUUUUAAAAUAACUCUAAAAAAUAGUUUUUAAAAACAGUUUUUAAAAAUUGUUUUGUUUUGUAAAAUAAAAGUUUAUUUGAAAACCUAAAAUGUUUUUAACUUGUUUUUAAUAUUUUUAAAUAUAUUUUAAAAAUAACUUUUACAUUCACAACUUUAUUUUUAAUUAUUAUAUAUGUGUAUUAUUAUUUUUUAAAACAAUUCUCAAAAAACAAGUAAAAACAACUAAAAGACAUUAGCUGAAAACAUCAUAUUUUUUGUUUUAAGAACUGAAAACAAAAAAUAGUUUUUGAUUGUCAAAUAUAUUUUCUAGUUUUCUUGUUUUAGAAAAUAAAAAUUUGUUCUUGAAAAUAGUUGCUAAAUAGACCCUUAAAGCCUCUUUUUGGAAGUUGUUCUUGACAACCGUUUUUUGUCCUCAAAUAAAAAUAGUUUUCUAAAGUAGAAUACAUAUUUGAAAAGCUUUUGAUAAUUUUUUUUUUUUUAAGAAUUUACCCUAAAAAUACCUUUUUUUUUUUGAAAGAACUCAGGUAAUUUCAGUUUAUUUUUAAAAUAGGAAGAAUAUUUUAACUUUUAACUGUACAUAAAUGUGCAGUACCUUUAUGGAGAAUAAGCUGAGAAAAUUGCAAUUCAUAUUUAAGUUGAAUUUUAUUCUUGAAAAUCAUUAAAAAUUAUUUUUAAGAAUAGUUAUCCCAAACUAUUUUUUGGAAACUAUUGGAAAAAACAUAGCCAAAAAAAGCUCUAAGUGCAUUUUUUGAUCAUAUAUUUUUCUUCCUUUUUUUUUUCAAUGAAUAAAUGUUUUAUAACACUACAUAAAUUACAUAAAAUGCUAAGGACCCUAGAGGAAUAGUAUACUCAGGACUAGAAUGAUUUUGCCACAAGAAAAAUGGCACUGUGUCAAUCCCUACCCAAAAAUGCCCUAGGACCUUCCAAGACAUUCUGAUGAUAAAAUCUGCCAAACUCUCAGACAAUGGACCAAAAUUGACUUGAUAAAAUCAUGUACACAAAAAAUAAAAAAAUAAAAAAAAAACCCAGAAUUGGCUUCAAAAUAUUGUUGGACACUGGAAAAGAUGAGAAAUGAAUGGAUCACAAUAAAUACCAGAGCAAAAGACCCAAUAAACUCAAUGAUCUCUUUUAGUUUAAAAGAUAUGACCCACUUAAUAUGAAGGCAUAAUUAACUAUAUUCAUAAAAAAAUUCCCAGGAGCAGCGUAGAGAGGAGACCUCAAAAUUCAGCAAUGGCAUGUUUGGGUUCAGUCAACCAGUCUGUGGUAGCACUCUCUAAUAAGUUCCACAACACCAACACCCAAAGCCUCCCAACCAAACACCUGUCUUCUUUAUCAUUAUUUAGUGGUUCUUCUUCUCCCUUAUCAACAAAAUCACCCAAAACCUACAAGCCAACUUACAGAGUCAACACUGGGAUUGUGAGGGCAGAAGCUAUGACAACUGAGAAGCUGGGCAUCAAGAUUGAGAGGAAUCCUCCUGAGUCCAGACUCACUCAACUGGGUGUCAAAUCUUGGCCCAAGUAUGUUUUCUGCUCUUUUUCUUCUUCUUUCUUCCAUGGAAAAAAUUGAGGAAAACAACAGAAAAAGUGGUGUAUUCAUGUGUUUAUAAAUGCUUUAGGGUUGUCGAUGGGCUCAUGUAUGUGGGUUAUUGAAUAUUGAACAGGUGGGGGUGUGAACCAAGCAAAUUCCCAUGGACGUUCACAACCAAAGAGACAUGUUACCUACUGAAGGGCAAAGUGAAGGUAUACCCAGAUGGGGCUAAUGAGUGUGUUGAGAUUGGGGCUGGUGAUUUGGUGGAGUUUCCCAAAGGAAUGAGCUGCACUUGGGAUGUCUCUGUUGCAGUGGACAAGCAUUACAGCUUGGGCUAAUUCACUAGUCUUCUGCAGCCCCUUUGCCUCUCUUCUUAUCAAUAACUGCAUGAAAUGAAGUAUUGGGGUUCUAGAAGUAGAUCUUAGGAUACAAUCAAACUCAUAUGUUUGUCUCUCUGUGUAAUUUGGUUGUGGAAUAAGAUGUUCUAGCCCUUUUAUUGGAUAAAUGCAGAAAAUUUUGGGUUUUUCUCAGAUUCUUGUUUUGAGGCAAAGAUACGGAGAAGGAAAAUUGUAUGGUAAUUCUCUGCCAUAUAAUAACUAAAGGUGCAAGAAAAGGAUAGUUAAAUCUAAACAAAAUGACGUCAAAAGAGAGAGAGAGAUAGCAAAAUUAAUUGUCAAAGCAACCAACUUGAAUAUUCAGAAUGAAAAACUACUUUUUGACAAGGGAAAAUAUUAAAAGUAGAGUGGAUUCUACUUUCUACUUGCUACUUGAAUUUAGUAUUUGAUUUGAUUGUGGCACCAACUCGCUAGUGGAAUGUAUCCAUGAGUGGGCUUACUUUAUAGCCUUAUGAAUAUGAGAUGCUUCCUUUGUUAGUUAUAAAUAAAUAAAAAGGAAAAGGAAAAGAAAAGCAAGAGUUUUUCAGAAAUCAGAUCAUGUGGGGAUGGGUAAGGGUAUAGGAGAAUUAGGGCAGUUGGAGGUGAGUUGCUCUGCGAGGAUGCCCCACACCCACUUUCUAAAGAGACUUCAGAGUUUGAAGGAAGGAAGAAAUAUGGUUAAAAGGAAAGAUUGAAAGAUUGAAAGAUUUUAGAAGUUGAAAAAAGUCCAUGAUUUAUGUUUAAUAAAACUUGGAUGAUACUAUAAAAAAAAAUGAGAUUCGAAUAUAAGGAAAUAAGAGUUCCAUAUAAAAUAACCUAAACAUGAAGGUCAAGGAUACCAUGCUCACUUUACAAAUCAAAUUCAUCAACUACUUUAAUUAAUAAAAUAUGUAAAUAGUAAAUUCAAAGAUUUAUCCCACAUCCUUUCUAUCCCCAUCCCUCUUCUUUCGAAUGUCCCUUGUUGUUGAAAAGUUAAAUAAUAAAUAUUACAUAUAUUACUUGUUCCUGAAAAAUUAAAUAUUAAAAAAAAUGGUGAAUUCGAUAAUUCAAAAAGAAAAAAUAAUUGAAUAAAAAAUAUCAAAUAUAGUACGGAAUUGAAUCAUGAGAGAUAUCAUAUCCUUAUAUAUAUAUAAAAGAAAAAAUCAAUUAACAAGUAAUUUCAUUUAAUUCAAUAAUUCAAUUCACUUUUUUCAAAAAAAUCAAUACUUUCGAUUUAAAGAUAUAUCAACGUGUAAUUUGCAUAAUUAGUUCAUAUUUAAAAACAUUUUAUAAAUAAAUCUUUUUACUUUGAUCCAAAAUAUUAAAAUUUACACGGGUGAAUAGCCUUAAAUUGUUCCACUUAUUAGUGGAUAAAAUGAUUUUUUUUUUUUUUUAUAACAAUGGAUAAAAUGAUUUCUAAUCAAUAGUCUACCAAAGAGUGAAGAAUUUAUAAUUAAUAAUGUAUUAAAUACUAAUAACACCCUUAUUAAUUAGGAUUGCACUACAUCAUUACACUUAUUAAAGGUAAUGAAGGUCAUAUCACUUAUUCCCAAUUCGCCAAGACUAUUAAUAAAAAUAAAGAUAAUUUGUUGUAUUUUAUUCACGAAAUCAUUUGUUAUACAAAUCGUAUUUGAUUAAUAAAUAAAUUGAAUUGAAUUGAAGAAAUAUUUAAUUUAAAUAAUUCAUUCACACCACCGUUAUGAUCCAUUUGAUACUAUCAUCGCUCAUUUAAUUCAUUUACAACUUCAAAUGUAUACAAAGUAUAAAUUACCUUAUUUUCUUAAAAGAGGUAUAUGCGUGUUAAUGUACACGGCAUUUCUUUGAAUUUUAUAUUCUAAAUUGAUUUGAUCAGACUAAAAUUUUAGUAUAUUUAAAUAAGCCAAAAACUUUAUUGGUUGCACAGAAUCCGGCGUUAGAUUGAAUGAAAGUAUUUUCUUGGGGGAAACUUUCCUGAGAAACAAACAUGCCUUCCAAGUUCACAAAAUUAGCGAGUAGCAAUGCAGCAGCAGUCGUGAUACUACUACUUUCUGUGGCUCUAGUAGUUUUUACGAGUAAUAUGACAAAACCCAAUCCCCAAGAAGCUUCAACGGCGAUCAUCGAGAUUUUUGGAGUGAAGAUUCACAGGAACCCUCCUCAGGCCACACUCACCGAUCUGGGUGUCACUUCUUGGAAAAAGUAACACCCUUCACCUCUCUCUUUUUCGGUCCCUUUUUUCAGUUUUCUUGCAUUCACUUUCUUGGCAAACAAACGGGGGGUUUACAGUGAAAAGUUGGAAGUUUGCUUCUUUGCUUCUAAUAUGGAGAAAAUUUGUGAUGUGGGUCUGCACCCAGAAACUAUUUUCUUGUCCUGAGGGGGUUUGGUGUAAAAUUCUUCUGAAAUAAUCGAUAAAAAUCAUUCCUUUUGAGUCUAUUUGGGCUUAUUAUCACUUGAUUUCUUAUCCCCUCAAACAUGUACUCGAGUACCCUUUCUGUUAUAUUUGUUGCUGAGAAUAAACCCAUUAGGAGCGGCAAUGAAAACCCUGAUUAACUUUUUGAAAAAGAGUAAAACCUAGAAAAGCAUAAGAAGAUAGUCAUUUGUAGGGUUGAUUUCCAUCUCCAAAUUGGAGAAUUCUUCCCAAAAAAAUUUGGUCAACUGAGACUUGUCCCUUCUCUUUAUGAGACUAGUGAAUUUAUUUUCAUAAUUGGGCCAAUUUGAUAUUGAAAUACAAUCUACAAUGGAUGUCAUCUUCCCUUUCCCAUGAAUUCAUGUCAUUGCUGGUUAGUUACCCUUCAUGUAAAAACUUGAGAGGUCAAGGAUUUGACACCGGCACUAUAUUUAAGUUUGAAAGUGUGAAGAAUCACUUCAUACUAAUCUGAAUAAUAUAAAUUUCAUGGUAGUCUUCUUGCAGUGGUAGUCUAUGUAAGGCAAUGCCUUCAGUUUGCAGCCUAGGAUCAAGGUUCAAGAUCAGGCAUUAUCUUAGAUCAUGUUCUGUGCCCUCAUAUAUAGGUAUAGAACAUUUCCAUGUAGUACAUAUUCUUCUGCAUGCAUUGCCAUUUUAUUCUUUUAGUUUGGCUUGAUAUCAUAUUUGUAGUCUCCCACACCUUGGAGAGGUCUGAUGCCCAAGACGAUGGUGCGGUCUGAUGCCCAAGACAAUGGUGCUUGAAUUUGGAGUACAAUCACAGGAUCAUGAGGCUAAGGAAAAAAUUUAAUUAGUGGGAUAACUCAGGUGAAAAUUUUAGUGAAUUUGAUGUGCUGUUGGGAAUCAAGUAUUGGCAUAAGCUGAUUAUACUGUAAGAGGAUGGUUUCCAACCUGGGGUUGGUGUAAACAUGAUUAAUUAAGUUUUUUAAUCAGAAAUAAAAGAAUGGAUGAGAGUCUCAGCAUAGAACAUGAAGAAGAUCAAUUUUAAUUGAGAAAAAAAAAAAAAGUUAGAUAACAGGGUUAACCAGUUGCCUGGAUCAGGGAUGAGUUCAAUAUUUGAUGUUUCAUUUCAUAUCACCUUAUCAAGAUUUCUAAUCUAGUAAAUGAAAUAACCUAAUAUAUUGUCAGGUUUUACAUGAGAAUGCACAAAGGGGACCCACUGCCACCCGUUAAGGUAGCCCAAUUGGUCAGGGCACACUGGGAAGUGUGGUCCCAGUAAGUGGCACAUGGUCUUGGGUUCAAAUUCUGUCAUUAAUGAUACCUUGAAUUUAUCUGAUACUAGUUGUUGCGGAGAGAUUACCAUUCCGAGGUUUAGGUCCUCAUGGAGAGUCCUAAGGGCUUGGCCAUGGAAGG